ACGCAGCGCCUCUUCGUUACUCGACGGCGCCUGUUCUGCUUCCAUGGUCUUUGAAAGUGCCCGAUUAAUGGCUUAUGUGUGGUUAACAUCUGCGAGGCCGUAGACUCACCGCCGGUGCGAUGUAUUCAAUCUCAGAUUCUGGGAAGCCAGAAACGUUAAAGAUUCAGGCGUAAUCUGAACAUGGGGCCGAAAUCACGAUCGACGCCGAUAUCAGCAUCGUCGCUGGCGUCGUCUGCUUCGCCGAGCGGGAAACGAGCAAGAGAUCCAGAAGACGAGGUAUAUCUCGAUAACGUCUGCUCCCAGAAACGUUAUCUCAGCAAGUUUAAACGGGCUUACAGUCGGAGACUCAGGCUCCGUCAACAUGUUAGACUCUCCUUCUCACUCUGAGACCUUUCUUUAUCCCAACAACCACAGGGAUGACUUGCCAUUACAAUACUCUCCCAUGUCAGAAGACAUCGACGAAGCUAGAUUCUGCGAGGACCAAUUAACAAGCACUUUGCUUUUUCGGUCAAAAUAUUUAUUUCACUCUUAAGGAGAUAGUUUCAAUUCUGUUUGUUGAUUUCAGAAACAGAACAUCUUAUUUGUAUGACAUGGAUAGAGAUGAUGAGCAGUGCCUUGCGAGAAUUCAUGAGCGUUCCUAUGCUGAGAAUAGUGCUUCUUAUGAGAUCAUUGAGGACAUGUUUGAGAAGGCUUCGUAUGUAAAACAACUUGAUCACUUUACCUUAAUCGAAAUUCAAGAACUGAUGGCCGGAGUUAGAUCCUUGGAAGCAAUGGAAACAAUAUAUGAGCUUUGAAGAACCAAGAGGCAGAUCAAGGGAAUGCCACUAAUCAGGCAUCUUCAGAUUUCAAAAGUCAAAACAUGCAUUGCUAGGCGCUAUAUAGAUCGUUAUGUACUUGGGCUGACCUUCAAAUACUCACUAUCUCUCAGCAUCUUGGGCGAAGGAGGGCAGUGAUGAUGAUGGAGAUGCAUGUGAACAUCUCAGGGCAUACUAAGGUUGACGUUGGUGGUAAUGAUCGUGAAGAAUCACCAACUAUAGGAACAGCAUCACCAUCAUCUUCCAAGGUUGUCAAGAAGGCCAAAAUCGCAUAGGUGAAAAUCAUGAAGUAUCUGGACGCAGUAUUUUCUAUUUGAAUAAUGCUAAGGCAUCAAUUUUUUUUCUUCUGCCGGUUGCUAAGUUUUUCAGACAGUCUUCAAAAGUUCUGCUUAAGUUUGAACUAAUAUAAAGAUAUUUAGCACAUGUACUUUGCUCUCCAAGUUUCAGUUUAUAUUC